CGUAUCAAGGACUCAUCCCAUCAGUUUGUUCUCAUCCUUUUCUUCCUCUCCUUCUCUUUUAUUAGCCAAGAGGAAUUGGUGAGGGUGUUGGAGCUGAACUCUUUGGAGGUUGCUCGAUCAAAGGGGACCAGCUGAAAAAAAAAAAAAAAGCUUUGGGUAUUCAGGUAAUAGAUUGAUUCUCAGCUCAAAUCAGGUGGAGAAGUUGGUGCUAUCAGCUUGGAGGACUUGUGGGCUGAGAAGAAAUCUGAACCAAGCUUAUAAUUCCUGAGGUUGAAGCUGUUGGGCAACUUGGAAUAGCAUCUAAUUAAGGAGUGAGCUAUUUGAAGCAGUAAGUCAGCUAUUCCGACAUCAAGCUGAAAUUGCAACCUUGGUGGAGUUUCGGCUGAGAAAAAGAAGUUGAGCUGAGAAAAACUUGAUGUAGCAACUAAUUAAGGAGUGACAGAAAUUGAGGGUUAGCAUAUUGAAGUUGUCGAAUUGAAGAAAUCCAUGUUGUUGGUGCUGAUCCGAAGUGCAAGAAUGGAUUCUGAUGCAGUGAGCAAGCAAUUGAGCACCUGAUUAAGUGGCCGAAGUGAAGUGAAGGCUAGUUGAAGCUGAUUUGUUGUGAACUGGAACAGCAGGCUUAUGCUGUGGUUCAUGUUGGUGCUAAGAUCAACCUGAUAGACCCUAAUUAAGGUAAAUUGAUGCCAUAUUGAGUUAUAAUCGGAUUGGUUAGUUAUUUUAGAAUAAUGUAAUCAUAGGUUCCAGCAAUAAAAAGGGGCAAAUUGGGAGUAGUAAGCUGAAUGAAGUUGAUGCAUUAGUGCUGAAAUUCCAGCAUGGUUCAGGAUUUCAGCACUAGUAUAGAGUUGAGUGAUGAGCUGAAGCAAAAGGCUUCAAGGCAGUACUUCUUGCUAACUAGAACUAAUAGUUCUAUACUUAUAGUAGCUGUUCAAAAAGGAGAUAAAUGCUGAAAGAAUUCAGCAAAGGGGCCAGAUUUCAGCUUAAUGCUGAAAUCAGCAUUGAGCUGAUAGGUGUGAUGAUUAU